UACGAAGGGGGCUAGCGUUGCUCGGAAUCACUGGGCGUAAAGCGCACGUAGGCGGAUCGUUAAGUCAGGGGUGAAAUCCUGGAGCUCAACUCCAGAACUGCCUUUGAUACUGGCGACCUUGAGUUCGGGAGAGGUGAGUGGAACUGCGAGUGUAGAGGUGAAAUUCGUAGAUAUUCGCAAGAACACCAGUGGCGAAGGCGGCUCACUGGCCCGGAACUGACGCUGAGACGCGAAAGCGUGGGGAGCAAACAGGG
rnacentral:rRNA from 1 species